ensembl:lncRNA
UUCCCCUGUCACCGGUCGGCGCAUUUGCAUGUGUGUGUCUGUGCGCGUGUGAACGUGUGUGCGUGCCCGGAGCUCAUCAGCAUGUUUAAGUUCACAUCUGAUGUCACCGUGCUUCCCCUCGGCGAAAAGGGAUGAUUGUGGUUUAUCACUGAGUCACUUCAUCACUGUGGUUUCCCUCUCUAUCAGAUACAACCGCGCGUGUGUGUGUGUGUGUGUGUGUGUGUGUGUGUGUGAAAGGGACGGCGAGAACAAUAAGAAGACGAUGACCAGAGGAGUGAGGGCCUUCUCGGGGGCAGACGGAUGCGAGGCGGCUUGUCCUAAACGUUGGGACACGGCGCUCGACCCCCCGCAGCCUCGCCUCUCACUCGCUUUCACUUUGUUCCUCCAGAGGCUUUUUUUGUUGUUGUUGUUGUUGUUUUUGUUGUCUUUUUUUCAGUUCUUGUACCCACACACCGAAUAACACAAAGCACAAAGAAACCCUCGUUUAGUUAACCUUUGUCAGAGUUUUGAUGUUUUUGACACACUGUAAAACGCCCAUGUGGCUUUUUUUUUGGGGGGGGGGGGAAUUCUGCCUUUGAAUUUCCUGCUCUUUUGUUCGGAACCCCUCAACCACCAGCAGCUGAUUGUCAGCUCGUGCAGAGAUCACAGUGACUGUGACGGUGUAUUAACAAGAGAAAAAGAGCGAGAAAUGUGUGUGUCGAUAUAGAGAGAGAAAUCUGCCGAAUGCACCGGCGCAGCCCACAAGCCCCAGAAACCUCUCCUGUUGCUCUGGUAACAACAAGGACGGAUUCAGACCCAUUUUCUCCCCCCCCUCCCCUCCCCUCUCUCUCUCUUCCAGGUGUUUUGUGUGACCGUCUUGCAAAGGCAGGACGGGGAUCUCUGCUCUUUCGUUCAGUCAAGGUGUUCUGUGGGAGCCGCAAGACGUGAUGCUCGAAUCCUGUGGAAAAAGAGGUGUUUCUUUAAAAAAAAGAAGAAAAAAAAAAUGUCAACGGCUGAAAAGCACAAAGAGCAAAACAGACGCGGCCUUGGGAACCGAGAGGAAAAAAUAUAGUUUUUUUUAAAAAUGAAGUGAGAGGCGGUAAGACAGUUAGAAAAAAAAAAAAGAAAAGAAAAGUGAGAGCGAGAAAGAAAGAAGUGCAUUUCCCCGACAUGAGUCACUUCUGAGUGAAAGCUUUGUAAUUUAAGCCGCACGCAGCGAAAGAAAGAACGAAAGAGGGACAGAUGCAGCGGCACCGACGUGGAGAGACGUGGACAUUUACCCAACGCCGACAACAGCAGCACCGUGCGUUCCUGACGUUACAAAACCAUCUGGGUUAAUUCCAAUUUAAAACAGUGCCACAGAACAGGUGGACUCCACAUUAACUGCACGUUGGCGUUCCUCUAAAGUGGAUGUGGUCCACGGUGUCUCUCACACUUCAACCACCACAUCCUCCCGUGGAGCUUCAUUUAUGCACAUUGAAAAGACAAGCGGACGCCGACAGGACGCAGUUUGUCAUUUCGGAUCAUGGUUGUAAUUGUUAUGUAAUUGUUAUAAUGUUUAAUGCGAAAAAGUUCCAGCGAGUGUCCCCGAAUGUCUUCGGGCAGGACUUAGUCAAGUAUCAAGUAUCAAGAGUCAAAUAUUGACAGUGGGACCAUUUUCGACAAGGAAGUAAUAUCUCGUAUGGAAAGUUUCCGUCGAGGGCUUUCUAGAUAAAUAGAAACCAAUGCGUGUCAAUGCGACGAUAACUGGCGUAAUCAACUGAAUCAACGGGUUUAACAGUGGAGGCGUGUCUGCAGACAAUAAUACAGAUAAGCUCAAUAAUACAGAUAAGCCUUAAUUGUUUGUUUUUGUACUCAACACGGCAAAAUUGAUUCUGCUUUAAUGUCAGUUCUUGUAUUUAUUGUAUCUUUGUUGAUGAGUUUGCCAGAAGUUUUAUACCUGAUAACCGUUCCGAUGUCUCCGUACUGGAUGCAAAUACCACUUUAUAUAUUAAAUACACAAAAAUACAAAAUACUAUUUGAAGGAUGCUGCGUCACCAGGAACAAACAUGGAAAACAUGUGUGUUUUUUUCACCAUGAACUGCCUCAAAUCUACUCUGAGCGCCUGUUCUAAUUUAUUCUGGUCUGGAUGGCAACAGUGCUCCAACCACACACACACACACACACACACACACACACACACACCAGCACACGUGCACAAAUCUGCACGUGUUCCCAAAUGUCCACUUGACAGCUGGUGUUUGCAAAGAAAAAAGAGAAAGAAAAGGUCAGUUGGCCUUUUGUGUUUUUUUUUUCUUCAUCUUUAGAAACAAAAACAGAGACACAUGUUGUGAGUCAGCACAGUGUGUCACGACAACCCGUCAGAGCCGACCGCGUCCUAGUUCGAGGGCGAUGUGGACCGGCGCGGUGCCGCCUACUGCCGGGGCAUCGCCGCGUACGUCUGUGAGGACACAAAGGGCUCGUUGUAACCACAUCGCAACAAUUCUUAAUGAAAAUAGAGUCAUGAAUAUAUCGUCAGAAAUGUGCGGCGGUGACGGUCAAGAGUAACAAUUGUUCUGCAGAACCAAUGAAGAACCUUUUGCAUUACAUUUCAAUGCAAACAUAAGGCCCCAUUCCUUCUUCCAGGACUCAUAACGAGGUAUUUCAUCGCUGCAGGCUUCUGUAAAUCUGUACGCACGUGUGCAGCAGGCUCGUACUUUCACACAGGUUCUGUUAUGCAAAGCACGUCAACCGACAGAGCAAACAGCGACACUGAGGGGUAAAAUAGAUCCUCUUACUUUUCCCUAAAACUCAAACUGUGAAAUAGAAACCAAUGCCUCACGGGUAUAGCAAGUGAUGCUCUAAGGAGGUAGAAUGUUAAACCUGAAUUCACUGAUUUCCUGCAAAAGUUCUAUUCAAAGUGGGGGGGGGGGUUCCCCACUGACGAUCCUAUUCAGAUUCCAUUUCUGACCCCG